rnacentral:rRNA from 1 species
CGAAGGAUCCAAGCGUUAUCCGGAUUUAUUGGGUUUAAAGGGUGCGUAGGCGGGCUAUUAAGUCAGUUGGUGAAAGCCCCAAGCUUAACUUGGGAAUUGCCAUUGAUACUGAUGGUCUUGAGUACACUUGAAGUGGGCGGAAUGUGUCAUGUAGCGGUGAAAUGCUUAGAUAUGACACAGAACACCGAUUGCGAAGGCAGCUCACUAAAUUGUAACUGACGCUGAGGCACGAAAGCGUGGGGAUCGAAACAGGAUUAGAUACCCUGGUAGUCCACGCCCUAAACGAUGAUUACUCGAUGUGUGCAAUACACCGUACGCGUCUGAGCGAAAGCAUUAAGUAAUCCACCUGGGGACUACGACCGCAAGGUUG